UUGUCUCCGCGUAAUAACGCAUGGUUCCGCUCGCUACAGUUGCUUAUACUCUUGUACUAUUGUUAUAUUAAAAGCAUAAAUUUUAAUAUGCUUGAUAAUCGUGACAUUCGCUUCGGUCUAUUGGCUAGCCGAGAAGACAGUUUCUUUUCAUCAAUAAAUGUUAAUGUGGCUCUGAGAGUACCUACAUACACAGAGAAGCAUUCGCGUAAAAAUAUGAUCGAACAUUUUUUUAUUUUACUAAUAUUUGUCACAGAGUUUAUGUAGGUAAUUAAAAUAUAAUUGAAUUGCUUAUGCUAUAAUUGAAUUGGAAUGCUCUGCCGGAUACAGUGAGAAGUGCUCCAACUCUAAACUGUUUUAAAAGAAUGGUUGGGAAGCACCCUUGGGCCCGCGGUCAGCUCCCAACAUCAGCGGAUUGUCAAGACCAACAUACCCGGCGCGCCCCCUAGAUACACAAACAUCAUGUAUGAGGUUCGGUCACCUGAAAAAAAAAGGUUCGAAAGCGGCGCACAAGCUCUGUGAAUUCCAGUAAGCAUCGUCAAAUGGAUCAUGAACUAGU